CGCCUCCGGGCACGUGAGCUGGCGUUUUCGGGCGGAGAGGUGUGGAAGCAUGGUGUACUAUAGAUAGUUCGCUAUUAAUUUAUUCUCACUUUAAUGAGGAGCAUUGGGGGGGCGGCUGCCGCCGCCGCCAAUGAGCAUGGGGGGCAGGAAUGAGGCUUAUGCCGAAACACAGUGACCCCAUGGGAAACCUAAACUGCCACCGCAAAGAGUGCGAGUAAGACAUGGAGAGAGAAGGAACACAUGGGAAGGUGGCAGUAGGAAGAGGAGAACGGAGGGAUGGGAAAAGACGAAGGAAGAUGGGGGAGGGAUUCUGAGAGGCUGGAAGAUUGAUGGAAGGACAGGAGGUAGAGAUAUAGCAAGCUGUAACCUUCACUGGCUUCCCUUGUUUACAGGUGAUCAGAGUAUAGACUUCAUCCGACCUUCUCCCAUGCCGAUCUGUGCUUACAUCGCUCUAUGGUGGCUGACUGGUGGGGAUGCUGGCCAGCCACUUGGUCUGGUUGGAGACCCAUAAAGGUUUAUAUACCUGCUAUAAGGCUUCAUCUGACUUCACCAAACUUUUGACAUGGUUUACCAUUAACCAUUGAUAUGUUUGCUACACUACACUCUUCUUUAUUAGAUUUCCCUGAAGGUACAGUGCUGCUGCUAAUCGCUUGUUGAAUGCUUUGAGGAAACGAUAUUGGGAAUAGUCCUAUUUAAGGAGCUGAAUUGAAGUGAAGUGAAUUGAAUUGAACUGAAUUACAUCACGUUAAGCUUGAGGCUAACACAUGGCUGAAUACGUUUUCAGCGGUUAUAUCCUGUGUUUCUACUCAUGUUUGAAAGGGUUUUUUUUUUUUAAUGCCCAUACACCGACAUCUGUGCUUGCCAGUGCAGGGCGCAGCAUCACAUUCAUUAAGUCACGUGUGCUGGGCGUGAUUCCAGAUCCCUAAACGGGGAAUCAGGAAAACCGAAGAUGCGGGUGAAAAGAGGUCUGGCGAUGACAAGCUUGCAGGGGCGGCCAGUCAAUCCAGGCUCAUCUGACCGCCGCCACUUGGCUUCUCUGUGCCGGCCGUCUUAGUCGCUCAUGACAAAGGCUGCUAUUGCGUCUUAUCAGUCUUCAGUGACAGCACUACAAAGCCGAACCUCUCUGCUUUCCCUUAGCAUUUACUGUAUUUGUGUCUAACAUCAGAAUGGACUGUCUCCCCCCCCCCCUCCCUUUCACCCUUUCUGUCUAAUUCUGAUGUCUUUGCCUUCCUCUGUGACAUCCGUUCAGAGAUCAUUCCUUAUUUGCAUCUGCACGGAGGACAGGUCUCACCCUUUCGCCAGCACUAGAUAAUUGCGUUGGCUUUCGACCGGAGUGCCCCUCUCUUACAAGCCCUACUGAAACACAAGCACGGUAUGUCCUCGCGGGGAAGGUCACAUAUUAUUUGGGGAGCUGUCAGGGAGUCCCAUUACGAUGACACAAUAAAGAAUCGAGAGAG